UUGUGCUCAAGCUCAAGCGGAUUUGUGUCUGCAGCCGUUCCUGUCGUGGACUCUGGUAUACUAUUGAGAUUUGCUCGACCAUUCGCGAAUAGCCAGGGUCGUCAUAUCUGUCGCCACUUAUGUCUGUGUUUGUCGUUUGUCUCUCCGGUUGAAAGAGAAUUUCUUCGUCUUCCAGCCGUUCUCACCGCCAGAAAGUCGCGCCGUCAUCAAGUUGUCCCCCGCCGCAAAUCCGCUGUCGUAUCUCUUCGGGAUGGGUUUGUGCGCCAACACGGCACUUAUGUACGAGGAAAAAUCUUUGCCGGAUCUUUUCUGAGAUCCUUUCGCCUGUGACAAUAGGAAAAAAGGACUGUCCAGAAGAAACGAAAAUGUACAUCGCCAGUGUCCCGCAGUGCCGGGACGUCACACCCGCGACAGAGACGUUUUCUUCAACGCUCAAGGAUUAUCCUACGUGUUUACCAGUUCUCUAAGAAAAAACUGUGGGCAUCCUCGUCUGUGAAUUCGGUUUGUCUUUACACGCUUUGACAACCCAGAAAGCGGAAAGCGUUCCAGGCAACUGUGGAGCUGGACGCGUAUCGUUACGACAUACAUCUCUGUGUCUGUACGUGCGUUAUUCCAAACUGAACAUGCCCAUAUAGACUACCAGUUUGUAUCUCUGUGCAUGCAAACUGAGUUGUCAGUGAGGCGAUACAAGGACUUUGUCCCAUAAAAGAAGACAUGCGGAAAAAAAGCG
rnacentral:lncRNA from 1 species